AUAAAACACUGGUUCCUGUACGAUCACCGAAGUUAAGCAACGUGGGUCCUGGUCAGUACCUAGGUGGGUGACCGCUUACGAAUACCAAUUG